UACGUAGGGUGCAAGCGUUGUCCGGAAUUAUUGGGCGUAAAGAGCUCGUAGGCGGUCUGUCGCGUCGGCUGUGAAAACCUGGGGCUCAACCCCAGGCCUGCAGUCGAUACGGGCAGACUAGAGUCCGGCAGGGGAGACUGGAAUCCUGGUGUAGCGGUGAAAUGCGCAGAUAUCAGGAGGAACACCGAUGGCGAAGGCAGAUCUCUGGGCCGUAACUGACGCUGAGGAGCGAAAGCAUGGGGAGCGAACAGG
rnacentral:rRNA from 1 species